rnacentral:lncRNA from 1 species
GGUCUCUGAGGGCUUUGUACUUGUUGUUGUUCCUUUCCUUAUACCACCCUUUUGUGGUCUCUGUACUUGUUCUUGUUCCUUACCUUAUACCAUCCUUUUGUGGUCUCUUGAGAGCUUUGUACUUGUUGUUGUUCCUUUCCUUACACCACCCUUUUGUGGUCUCUGAGGGCUUUGUACUUGUUCUUGUUCCUUACCUUAUACCAUCCUUUUGUUGUCUCUGAGGGCUUUGUAAUUGUGCACUAAAGACAUAUUACAGCCUGUAAAAUGGUGUAACACCUUUUUCAUAACUGAUAGCAUAAAACCUAUUUAUAAACGCUCCUUUUUGGCGAGUGGCAAUUGUUCGAGCUGCUGUCUCAGACUUUAUACCCACUUCUCCCAACAUGUAGUAUUUGAACUCGAGAGCAAAGGUAG